CCCUUAGAUGUUCUGGGCCGCACGCGUGCUACACUGACCGGCGCAACAAGUUUCUUUCCUUGGCUCGAUAGGCCUGGGUAAUCUUUGAACGCCGGUCGUGAUGGGGAUAGGUCCUUGCAAUUUUUGAUCUUCAACGAGGAAUUCCUAGUAAAUGCGAGUCAUCAUCUCGCGUUGAUUACGUCCCUGCCCUUUGUACACACCGCCCGUCGCACCUACCGAUUGAAUGGUCCGGUGAAGCCUCGGGAUUGCGAAUGCUUCGUGCGGACGCGAGAACUUGGCUAAACCUUACCAUUUAGAGGAAGGUGAAGUCGUAACA
rnacentral:rRNA from 1 species